rnacentral:rRNA from 1 species
GAUGAACGCUGGCGGCGUGCCUAAUACAUGCAAGUCGAGCGAACAGAUGAGGAGCUUGCUCCUCUGACGUUAGCGGCGGACGGGUGAGUAACACGUGGAUAACCUACCUAUAAGACUGGGAUAACUUCGGGAAACCGGAGCUAAUACCGGAUAAUAUAUUGAACCGCAUGGUUCAAUAGUGAAAGACGGUUUUGCUGUCACUUAUAGAUGGAUCCGCGCCGCAUUAGCUAGUUGGUAAGGUAACGGCUUACCAAGGCAACGGUGCGUAGCCGGCCUGAGAGGGUGGUCGGCCACACUGGAACUUAGACACGGUCCAGACUCCUACGGGAGGCAGCAGUAGGGAAUCUUCCGCAAUGGGCGAAAGCCUGACGGAGCAACGCCGCGUGAGUGAUAAAGGUCUUCGGAUCUUAAAACUCUGUUUUUAGGGAAGAACAAAUGUGUAAGUAACUAUGCACGUCUUGACGGUACCUAAUCAGAAAGCCACGGCUAACUACGUG